rnacentral:rRNA from 14 species
GUUGUAUGGGGGGUGCCCAAUCUUGUUUGAUUUCGGAAGCUAAGCAUAGUCAGGCCUACUUAGUACUUGGAUGGGAGACAGUUCAGGAAUACUGGGU